CCAGACUCCUACGGGAGGCAGCAGUGGGGGAUAUUGCACAAUGGGGGGAACCCUGAUGCAGCGACGCCGCGUGGGUGAGGAAGUACCCCGGUAUGUAAAGCCCUUUCGGCAGGGAAGAAAAUGACGGUACCUGGCGAAGAAGCCCCGGCUAACUACGUGCCAGCAGCCGCGGUAAUACGUAGGGGGCAAGCGUUAUCCGGAUUUACUGGGCGUAAAGGGAGCGUAGGCGGCCUGCCAAGUCUGAUGUGAAAUACCGGGGCUCAACCCCGGGGCUGCAUUGGAAACUGGCAGGCUGGAGUGCCGGAGAGGCAGGCGGAAUUCCUAGUGUAGCGGUGAAAUGCGUAGAUAUUAGGAGGAACACCAGUGGCGAAGGCGGCCUGCUGGACGGUGACUGACGCUGAGGCUCGAAAGCGUGGGGAGCAAACAGGAUUAGAUACCCUGGUAAAA
rnacentral:rRNA from 1 species